GAUGAACGCUGACAGAAUGCUUAACACAUCAGCCAUUGAUUGGUGGCGGACGGGUGAGUAACGCGUAAAGAACUUGCCUCACAGCUAGGGACAACAUUUGGAAACGAAUGCUAAUACCUACUACUGUGAGAGAGCUUUGCGUCCCAUUAGCUAGUUGGAGAGGUAACGUCGCACCAAGGCGAUGAUGGGUAGCCGGCCGGAGAGGGUGAGCGGCCACAAGGCGACUGAGACACGGCCCUUACUCCUACGGGAGGCAGCAGUGGGGAAUAUGAUACAAUGGACCAAAGUCUGAUCCAGCAAUUCUGUGUGCACGAUGAAGUUUUCGGAAGGGAAAGUGCUUUCAGUUGGGAAGCGGUACCAACAGAAGAAGUGACGGCUAAAUACGUGCCAGCAGCCGCGGUAAUAC
rnacentral:rRNA from 1 species